UAACAUAAUAGAUAUAUCAUAAUCCGAUCUAAAUAUGCAUAUACAAUGUAAUAACAGUAAAUAUAACAAUAGUCCGAAAAAUACUAUUCCAAUUCACAUAUCUAUUUUUCAUUCAAAUCAUCAUCCCAUAAAAUUCAUAAAUCACAUAUAAAUUCAUUAACAAUUUAUUCGAUGCAAAAUAAUAUUAUAUAAAUGAAGAAUCUAGAAAAGACAGUUCAUUACUUACAUUGAACACGAUCCACAACAAAUCCAAUCAAUC
rnacentral:lncRNA from 1 species